CUUGCACCUGGUUUGAUUAGGACUUUGCCGCAUUUCAUCACAAAGGAAAGCACAUCAAACCCGUGUCCACGAUAGUAGGGUUCUUCCCUGCUGUAAGAGUUUUUGAUUCCUUAAAAGUUAUCCGGAACAUCAAUGUCCAAAAGAUGUAUAUACAAUCAUGCAAUGUGACCAUAAAACGUUAUUAAACCACUCUGAACGACAGAAACUUCUUCCAGUCGGGUAACAGUAAAUUGGUAAAUCAACUUUAUUUCUGAUACCAUGCGGGCUUUACAAAGACAAACCCAUAAGAAUAGCUUAUAUGUAUCUUCCUGUGCUUGCCUUUAAG
rnacentral:lncRNA from 1 species